UUGCUUCAGCAGCACAUACACUAAAAUUGGAAUGAUACAGAGAAAAUUAGCAUGGCCUCUAUGCAAGAAUGAUGUGAAAAUUUUUGGAGCAGUCUAUAUUUAA